UAGCAUGUGGAAUUGGAUUUAUACAUACAAAGGUCAACCGUGUAAACAUUGUAGUGAGAAUGUCUACGGUUAUAGAUGUAUCACCAAAUGUAAUUGUCAGGUCAACCAAAAAUGUCACCAUAUUCACGGGUGCAUAGGAGAUCAAAGCUUUUUAAAAUCAACAGCAACACAUUCGAUAUCAGGUAAUAGUGUAACCAUUACGUUGUCUGUGAAUACAGUGAGUUAUCUGGUUCCAACUGAACAACCAUCAGAUAGGUCUGAAUCAGUCAGAGUAUACGGAACAACAAUAUAAGGGUCAACGGAGUCUACAAGAC